rnacentral:rRNA from 1 species
AGCGAACGCUGGCGGCAGGCCUAACACAUGCAAGUCGAACGAACCCUUCGGGGUUAGUGGCGGACGGGUGAGUAACACGUGGGAACGUGCCUUUAGGUUCGGAAUAACCCAGGGAAACUGGUGCUAAUCCGGAAUGUGCCCUUCGGGGGAAAGAUUUAUCGCCUUUAGAGCGGCCCGGGUCUGAUUAGCUAGUUGGUGAGGUAAUGGCUCACCAAGGCUACGAUCAGUAGCUGGUCUGAGAGGAUGACCAGCCACAUUGGGACUGAGACACGGCCCAAACUCCUACGGGAGGCAGCAGUGGGGAAUCUUGCGCAAUGGGCGAAAGCCUGACGCAGCCAUGCCGCGUGGAUGAUGAAGGUCUUAGGAUUGUAAAAUCCUUUCACCGGUGAAGAUAAUGACUGUAGCCGGAGAAGAAGCCCCGGCUAACUUCGUGCCAGCCGCCGCGGUAAUAC